rnacentral:rRNA from 1 species
UACAGAGGGUGCGAGCGUUAAUCGGAAUUACUGGGCGUAAAGCGCGCGUAGGCGGCUUUGCAAGUCGGGUGUGAAAUCCCCAGGCUUAACCUGGGAAUGGCAUUCGGGACUGCAAGGCUGGAGUGCGGCAGAGGAGACUGGAAUUCCUGGUGUAGCAGUGAAAUGCGUAGAUAUCAGGAGGAACACCGAUGGCGAAGGCAGGUCUCUGGGCUGACACUGACGCUCAUGCACGAAAGCGUGGGGAGCAAACAGG